GGGGCACGGUCAUCCCUCCCCCGCCACAGACAGAGUCCUGUUUUAGUUUGGACGCGAGCGGCGCCGAAGUCUUCUGUGGCCGCGGAGGCCGCGCCCAACCCAACAGCCGUUCGAUUUUUUUUUGUUGUAAAAGAAAAGAACAAAAGGCGAUUGUUUGCGCGGCGAGCCCCCUCGCUGCCCCCCUGGCGGGUGGCUCCUUGCUCUGUUUUUUUUUUGUUUUAUAAUUUAGGUACACAACUCACAUAUACAUAUGAGUAUGUAUGCAUACAUUAAUAUACUAAAGCACUAUUAACGUGCCACCUGUUAUUCUACUCGCUCAGCAUUUAUAUUAAAUGAUCUCUACUUAGAAUCAGCUUUUUAUUUAGUUUUUUGUUUUUGUUUUUUUUCUGUCCACGGGUUGCCAACACAGACUUUAUCCUUUCCCAGACGAAGGACCUCUGUGCGCAUUGAUUUGUGUUCACUUAAUCUUUUUGUGUUCAAACAAAGGAAAUGUUCGUUAUAUAGACUAUGCUUCCGAAGAAGACAAAAUUCUGUAACGUCGGAGAAUUUAAGAUUGUUUUUAAUUUCUUUUUUCGUGCGUGUGUUUGCUAGAUUGUAUUGUAGAAGAUGUACCCUGACCACGCCCCGACCAUCAACGCAACCCCCCCCCCCACCCUCCUCAGCACGCGCUGUACCCAGCGAUGCUGGGGGGGGGUAUUGAGGGAAGGCGUUGGGAGAGGGGCCCCCCAACAGACAAAUCCAAAAAAACAGGUUUUUGGUGAAAGGUCAGCCUUGUUUCCUUGAGAAAUGAUUUAGUUUUUUUUAUAUAUAUUUAGUCUGCUUUAACAGCAUGAGUUGAUCCCAAAUAAUUGACACUCAAUUGGCAUGAUUCAGAGUCAUAGAUAUUUUUUUCCUCAAAAAAAACAUUAUUUUGAGUCCUUUUUUUCUUUUGGAAAAAAUUAAAAGAUUUCAGCUCACCAAAUUACUUAACGUGUGCAUUAAUGCAAAUCUCAGAGAUUUGAAGCUUUUUUGUUCUUUGUUUUGUUUUUUUUGUAAGGGACUGUUAUUGAGCUAGCGUUGGUUUGUAGAUUGUUGCGUUUCCUCCGCGUCUUGUUUCCCCCCCCCCUCCCCAUCCCCGUCUCUCCCCUCCUCUCAUCCACUGCCCGGUGAACCUGCUGGCUGCCCGGGCCCCAGAGCUACCAGCGAUGGGGCCUGACCCCACCGUACCGAUGUGUUAACCCACAGCCGUACCCGGCAGUGUCACGCGUUCACCUCGCACCACAGUCGUCGUCGCCACACACCUCGCCUCCCCUGCCCUCCCCAGCCCUCCCCACGCCCUGGUUUACGUUCGCUCUGGCUGGUGAUAGACCAACGUCACUUACAGCAAGAGAAGAGAUGAUGGGUAGGUAGGGUUCGGUGCUGAGUGUUGUUGGCUCUCGCUCUCUCACACGGUAGAUGAAUGAUCCUUGCUCGUCCGUCUCCCGGAGACGGACGAGCAAGGAUGUGUGACGGGAGUAGGAGGCGGUGGCUGAACUUGCGACAGUUUGUUUUCUAUUAAGUUAAUAGCAACGAUUGGUUAUUUCAAUCUCCUUGUUUUCUGAGUGAAACUGCUGCCGAUCCCGUUCUGUUGUUCCUCAUAGCCAAUGAACCCCCCUCUCCGGCCCCUCCCGACCACUGAACCCUGUUACUGCUGUUCACGGUUCACCUUUUAUUCCCUAGGUCUAACGGGGAAACACACAAAUGGCUUUUUUAUAUGAUUACUCCCUUGUAAGAUAUCUCUUAAAUUAAGGUACAGGUUUGAUUUCAACAAGAAAAAAAAGUUUUUAUAUGUAUAUUAUACUCCAUUAAGGAAUGUCUAGAAUUAUCUUCCUCCAAUGUGGAUGUAGCCAUUAUUACGCCAUUUUAUGACUUUGUAAGAGAAUUCACUGUGUGAAAAUUGGUUUGCAUUUUUGUAUAAUACAAUCUGCUUUUUUGUUUGAUACGAGAGGGAGGUCAAACUGGAAGUUUGAGGAAACAAAAAAAAUGAACCUGUGAAAUUGAGAAAACAAAAUGUAAGUUAUGUACUACAGUGAUUCUAAGCUGAGGGGAAGAAUUAAAUGAUUGCUAACUGAAACCUUUGUCAUUGUUUUGUUUGAAUAUUUGUGCAACAAUUAUGAUAGAGCAAAUCAAAUACGAUUUUUUUUCUACAACCACCUAUUUUCAUGCAUAGCUGGG
ensembl:lncRNA